rnacentral:misc_RNA from 1 species
UCUCCGUUGGUGAACCAGCGGAGGGAUCAUUACAGAGUUUUUAACUCCCAAACCCUUUGUGAACUUACCUUAUUGUUGCCUCGGCGAGCCCCUGGGAUUCGUCCUACGCCCGCCGGAGGUACGCAAACUCUUGUCUUCAGUAUAUUCUUCUGAGUGGCAAACGCAAAAUAAAUCAAAACUUUCAACAACGGAUCUCUUGGCUCUGGCAUCGAUGAAGAACGCAGC